UGCCAGCUUUCCACCAGCUGGCGCGAAUACCGAAGAGGCUUGUCCAUCAUUGCCAGGCGUGCGGCGGGACUUAUCCCACCAAUCCACGGCAGCACAGUUGGUCUGAGGUUUAGGCAUUUUCGCGCCUCCAAAGCGCGGGUUGCCA
rfam:Proteobacteria bacterium SG_bin9 7064, whole genome shotgun sequence.